GGAAGACUUAAAAGGAGGAACGCCGGCUCAGCCAAGCCCCGGAGACUCCUACUUGAUAUGAGCAGUUUAAAACCACUUUCCCGUUAAAUUUUUCUGUGACAACUCUUUUCAUGGAGAACGAAAAGACUCUUGUUAAGGGUUGCCGUUCAGAAGUGUUGGCGUUGAUUGCUAACAUAAGAUCCAACAAGAAAUGGUGAAAAUGCACAAUGCCUCAGGACGCCUUGAGGAAGGGGCAGCGUGUUGCUGCCGAGGGUGAGCACACGUGGUUUCCGAGGAGGGGCGACAGAUCUCCCUGGGCGUCAGUCAUCCUGGGACUGGGUGCUAUGGAAGAAGGUGACGCCAGGCAGACACCAAGAGCAGGGGAGCUGCAGGCUCGUAUCAGAGCCCGUAUCAGAGCAGGGUGGCCCCUGAGUGGGGAGGGAGCCGGAGCUCACUGCUGGAGGAGGGCCCGGCACCUGCACGUGAGGACAUGAGUCUGA
rnacentral:lncRNA from 1 species